ensembl:lncRNA
GCAGCCCCUGACGGGCAGCGAGACUCAGCUAAUAGUUACAGGUGCUCGAGCCUUGGCGCACACAGGUCACAGCCCCUGCCAUCAAAACGGAGGGGUGAGGAAGGGGACCGCACCAACCCGAGCUCCUGGCUAGUGCUGCAUGCUAAGUCGUUCAGUUGUGUCCGACUCCUUGCCACGCUAUGGACUGUAGCCCGCCAGGCUCCUCUGUCCAUGGGAUUUUCCAGGCAAGAAUACUGGAAUGGGUUGCCAUGCCCUCCAGGGGGUCUUUCCGACCCAGGAAUCGAACCCGUGUUUCUUAUGCCUCCUGCACUGGCAGACGGGUUCUUUACCACUAGGGCCACCUGGGGAGCCCCCGGAUGCUAUGCUAGCAGACAUCUCAAACCCAAUUCACUCAAAUCUGACACCCCCAGACCCACUACUUGCUCUGACUUCCUCAUCUCGGUAAAUGGCAACCACAUUUCUCCUUUUUACCUCCUCUCAAAGUAGGCAGUAGCAAAGUCUGCCUCUUUAUUCAAAAUACAUUCAAAGUUCUUCUCUCCAAAGUGAGUGCCACCCUUCCCCACCCCCUAAGUUCUCCAAGCAAGGUUUCAGCAAUAUGUGAACUGUGAACUUUCAGAUGUUCAAAUUGGUCUUAGAAAAGGCAGAGGAACCAGAGAUCAAAUUGCCAACAUCUGCUGGAUCAUCAAAAAAGCAAGAGAGUUCCAGAAAAACAUCUAUUUCUGCUUCAUUGACUAUGCCAAAGCCUUUGAGGGUGUGGAUCACAAUAAACUGUGGAAAAUUCUUCAACAGAUGGGAAUACCAGACCACCUGACCCGCCUCCUGAGAAAUCUGUAUGCAGGUCAAGAAGCAAUAGUUAGAACUGGACAUGAAACAAUGGACUGGUUCCAAAUAGGAAAAGGAGUACGUCAAGGCUGCAUAUUGUCACCCUGCUUAUUUAACUUAUAUGCAGAGUACAUCAUGAGAAACGCUGGGCUGGAUGAGGCACAAGCUGGGAUUAAGAUUGCUGGAAGAAAUAUCAAUAACCUCAGAUAUGCAGAUGACACCACCCUUAUG